AGAGGAGUUAUAACACCUGGAAAGGUAAUAAAGUCUCAUGCAUUUGUUGGAAUUAGCAAUAAUAUAAUAUGUUGAAGUUCUCAAGUGACAUUGGUUUGCUUCUUUCCAUUUUGGAAUUUUAGCUCAAAUUUGGACAUCUUGUUAAAAAUUAAUUUUCCCUUGAUUGAACUUAACAAUGAAAAUGAGUUUAAGAACAAUGAAAAUGAGUUUAAGGCAAUCUUCUAAAUUAUUGCUGCAUACAAAUUUUAUAUGCAUGAAUGCUUUGGAAAUGUUUGGUUGGGGAAAAUGAUACCUAGUUCUAUGCUCAAGAUGUAGUGUAGUUUUACUUGUUUGCUUUCACAUCUGGUGUGCAGGUGUGGGACCAUAUGAAUACCUGUUUUCAUUAAUGGUCUACUGCCCUUGCAUUGCACUUAAAUUUAUGUCAAUUAUGUGGAAUGUUUUAAUGGGUGCUUCUAUCAAUUCUCAAUGCUCUCUAUGUGAUGGGUGAGGCCUUCAUUGACCCCACACUGCUUCAUAAACACCCCACCCUGUCUUGGCCCUGAUCCUAGAUGCCAAAAGGGAUACAAUGUUUUCCCAGUCACUUCAUUGGGGAAUGGGUCUCCUACCCCCACCUUGUUAGGACAAAAUAAUUUUUUUUUAAAUUAUCAUCAUUCCUCAUGAGAAAAAAGAAAAUGCAAAUCCAGACCUUUAAGUAAGCAAUUAGUUAUAUUUUAUUAAGGGGAAAGUACAAAAAAGGACCAUGUAGUUUUGUGCUUUGACACUUUGAGGCGUGUGGCUCAAUUUUUGACAAAACAAUACCCUAAGAUUUCCCUUUGUUAGCACUUAAAGAACUAUCUGCUAUAAUACCGUUAGUUUGCUGAUGUGGUAUCAUAAAAUGACAUUUUCAAUAUGUUGUGGGUGCUACAAAUAAGUAACAAAUGAAAAUGACUGUUCAAUUUCAAUGAAAAUAAAAAAUAAUUUCAUUUAAUUAAAAAUUUGUAAAACAAAAUUACGUAAAUCUCCUUCUUCCCUGAAACCCUUAGCUUACCCCAGCCUCCUGCUACACAGUAUCAGUAGUAGAGACACUGUUCAAUGCAUGCCCUAAAACAAAUUCCAUGGUCAUCCCAAUCAAAUCCUCACAGAUCAACACCACACUUCUCCCCUAAAAUGAAUACCCGCUUCAAGAAGAAUCGCAAGAAGCUUGAUCACAUGAGCGUCAGAAGCUUGAUCACAUGAGCGUC
rnacentral:misc_RNA from 1 species